rnacentral:tRNA from 3 species
GCGAAAGUGGCGGAAUUGGUAGACGCGCUGGAUUUAGGUUCCUGUGCCGCAAGGCGUGAGAGUUCGAGUCUCUCCUUUCGCACCA